CUCUGUGCUGACAGCACAGAGCUUGACGUGGGGCUCACUCUCAACCAUCACAAGAUCACGACCUAACCCGAAAUCAAGAGUCAGAUGCUUAACUGACUAAGCCACCCAGGCGCCCCUGUUAGAGUCCUUUAAAGAAGACAAGAGUCCAAGGAGAAUGGAAGAGAAGAAAGGAACAUCAACAUCAACAAAAGAAGGAAGUGUGAUGUGGGUCUUAAAAAUGAGGUAGGAUUGGGAUGUGAGGAGCAUCUCUCUACAACAUCUUGCCUGCUGGUGCCAUGAUCCUGAAUAUUCAGUCACAGCUGGAACUGCUGGCAUGCACCACUGCCAUUGGUAGGUGGUAUUACCUGUGAUCUGAUCUCUUGCAUCUUGGACUGUGGCUGGUGGCCCUCCAUCUCAUGUGGCCUCACGCUGUUCCUGCUGAUUUGAAAGGCCCGUGACUCCCAUUCAUCUGCCACAACAUCAAAACACUCUUGCUCAGAAAUAGAGCUCCCCAAACUCUCAGUUUCCUCUGUGUUGAAUCCACACCACUGGAGCACCAAAAGCAAACAAGAAACACUAAAGCUUCAGAUAAGCCUGUCUCUUCCACCACACGACACCACCAGGAUUACUUUGAGGAAGCUGUCCCAGAGGUGACGUGGGAAGUGGUGGCCUUCUGGAGUCCCAGGUAGGGGUACAACAGAACUCUCAUGGCAUUGAAGACUCCAAGUUACCUAGAUGUUCCUAAAGCUACCCACUGUCCUUCAAGGUUGGCCUUGAGGCUGAGAUAAGAGGAGAACAAAGGACCGUGAGGAGCUCUUGCUCUACAGGCCUCUAUUAGGCAGCAGGGAAGGGGAGUUCCCUCCUUCCUGCCAGGUGGGGGACUCAUUUCUACACCUGGCCUUCCUGCGCCUGCUUCAAAUUGUUCUUGGACCUGGACCAUUGCCUGCAGAGAAAAAAGGCAUAGGACAACCACGCAUUGUGUAACACAUUACAUCUCAGAGGGAAGUUGCCUGGAACUCUCCUCAGCUGGUUUAUAAAGGAGAAGGGACAGGAAACUGACGUGUUGAGUACUUGGAAGUAACUGGUCUUAUCUUCAUUUGCCUUUCCAUAAGCAUUUAUAUUCACAGCAUCACCGUUGCAAUCUAUAGUUGAUUGAUUUUGAAGUUGUGUCUUUCUCUGAGACUUAUACCAGCUUGUGAACAGAUAGGAGCUAGCAAAAUUUCUGCUCAGGGUCUUACAUAAAUGUGCAUCACUGGUUACAGUUUAUGAUGGAAAGUGGCUUUCAUCUUGCAUGGCAUCCAGUAGGCCAACACUAAUGGACUGAGUAAUGAAUGCCAAGGUGGAGAGCUUUGUACUAUGUUCAGUACUUUGUAAGACUGCCCCCUGGACUUAGCAGGAACACGUAAUGUCUCUGAUUAGCUCAUGGGGCUAUAACAGUGGUGAAUGGACUCUUUGCCAUCCCCUCCUUUUCAGGUUCAAGUGGAAAGACUUUAGGUUCAACAUUGAAAAGAAAACUGUAAAACACAAAAUAUAACUUUAAUAACAGAAUGUGUGACACUACGAAUCUUGGAGAAUGGCUUAAGAAACUCAACAAGCACUUUUCCUAGCCAUUCUCUGAUGAUAAUGUAUCUAAUAUCUUAGAAUAAAGAAGCAAAGCUGGUA